AACGAACGCUGGCGGCAGGCCUAACACAUGCAAGUCGAGCGAAGCCCUCGGGCUUAGCGGCGGACGGGUGAGUAACGCGUGGGAACGUGCCCUUUGGUACGGAAUAGCCCCGGGAAACUGGGAGUAAUACCGUAUGUGCCCUUCGGGGGAAAGAUUUAUCGCCAAAGGAUCGGCCCGCGUUGGAUUAGGUAGUUGGUGGGGUAAUGGCCUACCAAGCCGACGAUCCAUAGCUGGGUUGAGAGGAUGAUCAGCCACACUGGGACUGAGACACGGCCCAGACUCCUACGGGAGGCAGCAGUGGGGAAUCUUAGACAAUGGAGGAAACCCUGAUCUAGCCAUGCCGCGUGAUCGAUGAAGGCCUUAGGGUUGUAAAGAUCUUUCAGUGGGGAAGAUAAUGACUGUACCCACAGAAGAAGCCCCGGCUAACUCCGUGCCAGCCGCCGCCGUAAAAC
rnacentral:rRNA from 1 species